rnacentral:lncRNA from 1 species
CUGCACCCUUGGCACAUGGUGGUUCCCAGGCUAGGGGUCGAACUGAAGCUGUAGCUGCCGCCUGCACCACAGCCACAGCAAUGCCAGAUCCGAGCCAAAUCUGUGACCUACACCACAGCUCACAGCAAUGGCAGAUCCUUAACCCACUGAGCGAGACCAGGGAUUGAACUUGUGUCCUCAUGGUUACUAGUCAGAUUCGUUUCCACUGAGCCGCAAUGGGAACUUCCUCUUAUAUAAAUUUUAAUGAACUAUGUAUGUGGGAUAGCUAACUAUCCUAUGGGUAUUGAAGUUGGUGCAACUACCUUCUCCAUCAAGCAUUUUCUCAUUUCUUUUUUUUUAUGUAGAGGAGUUUGUGGGAUUUUUUUGGCUGUGCCCAUAGCAUGCAAAAAUUUCCGGGCCUUGGAUUGAACCCGAACCACAGCAGGGACCCAAGCUGAUGCACUGACAAUGCUGGAUCCCUAACCUGCUGCACCACAAGAGAACUCCAAGGAGUUUUUAUCUUAUAAUAAAUAUUUCAUUUUUUUGCUAACUUUUCUCUUUUUUUAAAGUUAGCACAUUAAUCCAUCUGUAGUCUAUUUUGGUUUAUAAGGGAGAGCUCUAAAUUAAAAUUCUUCAAUGCUAUCCGGCUUCCCAAUGUCAUUCAUUUUUAAUUAUUUUUUAAUUAUUUUUUUAUAAAGUGUUCUAAUGACGAACAGGCUAGCCUUAUGGCUUGCUCAUUUUUUUUUUUUUUUUUGGAAUGUCCUUUGAAACCCUCCUCUGUUCCUUUUUCCAGGCUCUGUUGAGUUCAGAAAAAUACUGUUGGGAUUGACUGAAGAAGGUAGGUUAUGUUUGUAAAUUAACCUAAAGCACUGAGACAUUUUCACCAGAGCCAAUGUGAUCAUCUUGAAAUAUAUGCUGCCUCUCACCCUGCCCCCACCCCAUCAAGUUUGCAAUUUUCUUUAUAAAGGUCAGGCAUAUAUUAUGUUUAUUCCUAAGUAUGUUAGAGCACUUGUUUCUAUUAUAAAUGGAUGUUUUCAUUAUAUUUUCUAGCUAUUGCUAGCAUUCAGGAAAACCAUCAAUUCUUAUGCUUGUAGCUUGCAUUCAUCUUCCUCCUUAAACUUAAUUCAUAAAUUUUUACUGAUCCUUUUGUAUCCACUAUCCAUGCAAAUGUUCUCAUGCUGCCCAUCCCUGCCCCCAGCUUAUUUUAUCUUGCCUUUCUGAAUUGAUGAGGCUGUUCAAAGUUGUUCAUCCUCAAGUUCAAGUGAAACUCCCUUAAAUCUUUUGAGGAACUUGAUAGGAUGUCCGUUAACUGGUUCAUUAAUUAUCAGUGUGAUGUUAACAGGAGUUCAUUUUUGUUCCUAGAUUUGAACUUAGCUUAUCAGUGCUGAUUUUUGGUUUAAAUAGGUAUGCUUGGAGUUCCCUGGUGGCCUAGGAGUUAAGGAUUCGGCAUUGUCACUGCUGUGGCUCAGGUUCAGUUCCCGGCCCCGAAACUUCUGCAGGCCAUGGGUGAGGUCAAAAAGUUUUUUGUUAAUAAAAAAACAAAAUAAAAUAAAAUAGGUAUGCUUCAUUCUAUUGAAGAAUCCGUUAACUCUUAAAUUAUAAUUUUAAAAAUGUCUGAAUGCUAAAUUAUUUGGAGAGUGACUAGUAAGAUGAUUUUAUGCCUUUCAUUUUGGUCUUCAUGUUGAAUUAAUAAUGAAAUUUGCCCCUAGUGACAGAGCUAGAUUUUCAACCCAGGCCUUUCAACUUCCAGCCCCAUGUUAUUUGAUCAAGUCAUCAUUUUAGGAAGGUAUGUUUUCGUUUACGAAGGCUUGAGCAUAGCUUCUAGCUGUGUAAUGACUAGCAAGCACAGGCGCAUAAAAGAUGUUUUCAGAUAGAAUUCUUUCUGCCUUUCCGGGCACCUGGGUUUCAAUUGGCAGUCACGAAAGACGCAGUACCAAGCAUCUCCAAGAGUGAUUCUUCAAUUUUAAAAACUUGUAAAGACCAGAGGAGUCACUGAAACUGAUGGCGACCUCUCACUGAGAGCCAACGUCCAUCUCCAGCCUCCCUCCCUCGGGUGACGUGGUAGUGCCCCCAGAGCCUGCACUCCAGUCCCUUCCAGACUCCUGGUCUGCUCCCCAGACACCCCCACCCACCGCCAGCCUUCCCCAUGCAGCAGUCUGCCCCCACUGCACUCUCUCUGGUUGCUUCUUUCUGCUGCGCUGGGGGAGACUUUUGUUCUGCUCCAAUUAGCCAGAACAGUUACAGCUUCACUGGGAUCUGGGCUGAAAGAGGAGCCCUGCACAGCACCCACACCUCCUGGGCAAACACAGUGCAGCCCCGGGCAGCUAAAGAACCUCUUACUCCAAACCACCCAUGAGCCACCUGUUUCCAGGACGGUCCCACGGACCCCUCACUU